rnacentral:rRNA from 1 species
GAGUGCCUAACACAUGCAAGUCGAGCGGCAGCACGAGUAGUUUACUACUUGGUGGCGAGCGGCGGACGGCUGAGUAACGCGUGGGAACGUGCCCCAAAGUGAGGAAUAACUGCCCGAAAGGGUAGCUAAUGCCGCAUAUGAUCUUCGGAUUAAAGUAUUUAUACGCUUUGGGAGCGGCCCGCGUCCGAUUAGAUAGUUGGUGAGGUAAAGGCUCACCAAGUCUACGAUCGGUAACUGAUUUGAGAGGAUGAUCAGUCAGACUGGAACUGAGACACGGUCCAGACUCCUACGGGAGGCAGCAGUGAGGAAUCUUCCACAAUGGACGAAAGUCUGAUGGAGCAACUCCGCGUGCAGGAUGAAGGCCUUCGGGUCGUAAACUGCUUUUAUGAGUGAAGAAUAUGACGGUAACUCAUGAAUAAGGGUCGGCUAACUACGUGCCAGCAGCCGCGGUCAUACGUAGGACCCAAGCGUUAUCCGGAGUGACUGGGCGUAAAGAGUUGCGUAGGUGGUCAGUAAAGCGAAUAGUGAAAUCUGGUGGCUCAACCAUUCAGGCUAUUAUUCGAACUCACUGACUCGAGAAUGGUAGAGGUAACUGGAAUUUCUUGUGUAGGAGUGAAAUCCGUAGAUAUAAGAAGGAACACCAAUGGCGUAGGCAGGUUACUGGACCAUUUCUGACACUGAGGCACGAAAGCGUGGGGAGCGAACCGGAUUAGAUACCCGGGUAGUCCACGCCGUAAACGAUGGAUACUAGCUGUUGGAGGUAUCGACCCCUUCAGUAGCGAAGCUAACGCGUUAAGUAUCCCGCCUGUGGAGUACGGUCGCAAGACUAAAACAUAAAGGAAUUGACGGGGACCCGCACAAGCGGUGGAUCGUGUUCUUUAAUUCGAAGAUACGCGCAGAACCUUACCAACACUUGACAUGUUCGUCGCGACUUUAAGAGAUUAAAGUUUUCGGUUCGGCCGGACGAAACACAGGUGCUGCAUGGCUGUCGUCAGCUCGUGUCGUGAGAUGUUGGGUUAAGUCCCGCAACGAGCGCAACCCUCACUUUUAGUUGCCAUCAUUUAGUUGGGCACUCUGAAAGAACUGCCAGUGAUAAGCUGGAGGAAGGUGGGGAUGACGUCAAGUCCUCAUGGCCCUUACGUGUUGGGCUACACACGUGCUACAAUGGCAUUUACAACAGGAAGCAAAACGGCGACGUUAAGCAAAUCCUUAAAAGAUACCUCAGUUCGGAUUGCACUCUGCAACUCGAGUGCAUGAAGCUGGAAUUACUAGUAAUCGUGGAUCAGCGUGCCACGGUGAAUGCGUUCCCGGGUCUUGUACACACCGCCCGUCACACCAUGGGAGUUGGUUCUACCUUAAGGCAAGGUUUUAAACCCUUGACCACGGUAUAGUCAGCGACUGGGGUGAAGUCGUAACAAGGU